CGGUUUUAGUGGCGGACGGGUGAGUAACGCGUGGGUAACCUGCCUCACACUGGGGGAUAACACUUAGAAAUAGGUGCUAAUACCGCAUAAGCGCACGGGACUGCAUGGUCUUGUGUGAAAAACUCCGGUGGUGUGAGAUGGACCCGCGUCUGAUUAGCUGGUUGGCGGGGUAACGGCCCACCAAGGCGACGAUCAGUAGCCGGCCUGAGAGGGUGGACGGCCACAUUGGGACUGAGACACGGCCCAGACUCCUACGGGAGGCAGCAG
rnacentral:rRNA from 1 species